rnacentral:rRNA from 1 species
GUAGCCGGCCUGAGAGGGUGAUCGGCCACAUUGGGACUGAGAUACGGCCCAGACUCCUACGGGAGGCAGCAGUGGGGAAUAUUGCACAAUGGGCGGAAGCCUGAUGCAGCGACGCCGCGUGAGGGAUGACGGCCUUCGGGUUGUAAACCUCUUUCAGCAGGGACGAAGCGUAAGUGACGGUACCUGCAGAAGAAGCACCGGCUAACUACGUGCCAGCAGCCGCGGUAAUACGUAGGGUGCGAGCGUUGUCCGGAAUUAUUGGGCGUAAAGGGCUCGUAGGCGGUUUGUCACGUCGGGAGUGAAAACCAGGUGCUUAACACCUGGCCUGCUUUCGAUACGGGCAGACUAGAGGUACUCAGGGGAGAAUGGAAUUCCUGGUGUAGCGGUGAAAUGCGCAGAUAUCAGGAGGAACACCGGUGGCGAAGGCGGUUCUCUGGGAGUAUCCUGACGCUGAGGAGCGAAAGUGUGGGGAGCGAACAGGAUUAGAUACCCUGGUAGUCCACACCGUAAACGUUGGGCGCUAGGUGUGGGAUCCAUUCCACGGGUUCCGUGCCGCAGCUAACGCAUUAAG